rnacentral:rRNA from 1 species
AGAGUUUGAUCCUGGCUCAGGACGAACGCUGGCGGCACGCUUAACACAUGCAAGUCGAACGAGAGAAGAGGAGCUUGCUUUUCUGAUCUAGUGGCGGACGGGUGAGUAACACGUGAGCAAUCUGCCUUUCAGAGGGGGAUACCGAUUGGAAACGAUCGUUAAUACCGCAUAACAUAAUUGAACCGCAUGAUUUGAUUAUCAAAGAUUUAUCGCUGAAAGAUGAGCUCGCGUCUGAUUAGCUAGUUGGUAAGGUAACGGCUUACCAAGGCGACGAUCAGUAGCCAGACUGAGAGGUUGAUCGGCCACAUUGGGACUGAGACACGGCCCAGACUCCUACGGGAGGCAGCAGUGGGGAAUAUUGCACAAUGGAGGAAACUCUGAUGCAGCGAUGCCGCGUGAGGGAAGAAGGUUUUAGGAUUGUAAACCUCUGUCUUCAGGGACGAAAAAAGACGGUACCUGAGGAGGAAGCUCCGGCUAACUACGUGCCAGCAGCCGCGGUAAUACGUAGGGAGCGAGCGUUGUCCGGAAUUACUGGGUGUAAAGGGAGCGUAGGCGGGAUCGCAAGUCAGAUGUGAAAACUAUGGGCUUAACCCAUAAACUGCAUUUGAAACUGUGGUUCUUGAGUGAAGUAGAGGUAAGCGGAAUUCCUAGUGUAGCGGUGAAAUGCGUAGAUAUUAGGAGGAACAUCAGUGGCGAAGGCGGCUUACUGGGCUUUAACUGACGCUGAGGCUCGAAAGCGUGGGGAGCAAACAGGAUUAGAUACCCUGGUAGUCCACGCCGUAAACGAUGAUUACUAGGUGUGGGGGGACUGACCCCUUCCGUGCUGCAGCAAACGCAAUAAGUAAUCCACCUGGGGAGUACGACCGCAAGGUUGAAACUCAAAGGAAUUGACGGGGGCCCGCACAAGCAGUGGAGUAUGUGGAUUAAUUCGAAGCAACGCGAAGAACCUUACCAGGUCUUGACAUCGUAUGCAUAGCUCAGAGAUGAGUGAAAUCUCUUCGGAGACAUAUAGACAGGUGGUGCAUGGUUGUCGUCAGCUCGUGUCGUGAGAUGUUGGGUUAAGUCCCGCAACGAGCGCAACCCUUACUGUUAGUUGCUACGCAAGAGCACUCUAGCAGGACUGCCGUUGACAAAACGGAGGAAGGUGGGGAUGACGUCAAAUCAUCAUGCCCCUUAUGACCUGGGCCUCACACGUACUACAAUGGCUGUCAACAGAGGGAAGCAAAGCCGCGAGGUGGAGCGAACCCCUAAAAGCAGUCUUAGUUCGGAUUGUAGGCUGCAACCCGCCUACAUGAAGUCGGAAUUGCUAGUAAUCGCAGAUCAGCAUGCUGCGGUGAAUACGUUCCCGGGCCUUGUACACACCGCCCGUCACGCCAUGGGAGUCGGUAACACCCGAAGCCUGUAGUCUAACCGCAAGGAGGACGCAGUCGAAGGUGGGAUUGAUGACUGGGGUGAAGUCGUAACAAGGUA